UUGAGUGAAAGAGAGACAAAUUUAAGGGACCAAAUUCUUUUAAGGGGGGAGAGUUGUAAUACCCAUAAUUAAUUUUAAAAAUUAAAAUUAGGUGAAGAUGAAAUUGAAAAUAAUUUUUAGAAAAAAUGUACCACAUAGAACUGCCCAGUCAGCAGUCCCGAUGAAUUAGAGUGUGUCACGUGGGAAGGAACGCUGACUCGGUGGCGCAAGGGAGACCAUGCUGACAAUUCACGUGCCCGCGAUAAGA
rnacentral:lncRNA from 1 species